rnacentral:ncRNA from 2 species
CAUGGCCCCCGUGACUGACGGGCAGGUGGGAGACCACCGGGGAGCGGGGAAAACGCCGAAAAAUGCCGUCCGUCUGGGCAGUGCCG